rnacentral:tRNA from 2 species
GGGGCAUAGCUCAGUUGGUAGAGCAUCUGCUUUGCAAGCAGAGGGUCUGCGGUUCGAAUCCGCAU